ensembl:lncRNA
CACAUAAGGCAAGUGGUCAACUUAAGUCUCCCAAUUUAUACAGUGGUUUAGAAGACUUUUGUUAUUAGUUACAAGAAGAGAAUCUUGUCAGAUUCGCUGAAAUCUAAAAUCUAGAUAAUUCACAUGUUUUGGGGAAUCGGUGCUACUGUUAGGUUUCCUUAUAUGUAUCUUAGAAUGUUUGCAACUAUCUCUAAGAUUGUGUUCAGAUAUAACACUUCAUCAAAAACUAGAAGAAUCUUAUUAAUAUGCUGGUCAUCUACUCUACAAGAUUGGAUUGGAUGAACACUACUGAACUGUAUGUACACUUAAGGACGAUUCAGAUGGAAAUGGGAAUACCUCAAAUUUCAAACUUCUGCUUGUCAAAGAAAGCAGUCAACAAAGUGAAAAGGCAACCUAGAGAAUGGGAGAAAAUGAUUGCAAAUAAUCUACCUAAUAAGGGUUAUUAUCCAGAAUAUAUAAGGAGCUUCUGUGACUCAAGAAUAAUAACAACAACAAACCAAAUAACCCAAUUUAAAAAUGAGUAGAGGAAUUGAAUAGACAUUUCUCCAAAGACUAUAUACAAGGAGCCAAGAAGCACACGAAAGAUGCACUAAUUACUGGGGAAAUGCAAAUCAAAACCUCAGCAAAAUAUUCCUCACACCCAUCAUGAUGGCUGCCAUCAGAACAAAAAAUCAGUGUGCAAGGAUGUGAAAAAGUUAGGGCCCCUGUACACUGAGGUUGAGAACAUACAAUGAUGCAGCCAGUAUAGAAAUCAGUUCAGAGAUUAUUCAGAGAACUAAAAACAGAAUUACCCUGUGGUCCAGAAAUCCCCUUUCUGGGUAUAUAUCCAAAAGAUUUCAAACCAGGAUCUCAAAGAGAUAUUUGUCCAUCCAUUUUCACAGCAGCAUUAUUCACAAUAUCCGGGAGUUGGGAGCAACCUAAAUGUUCACUGACAGAUAACUAGUAAAGUAAGUGAGCGCUUGGCUAGCAUGCAGAAGGCCCUGGACUUGAUCACCAGCACUGAAGAAGAAAAUAAACACAGUUAAAAAAAAAAAAGGUUAAUGCAUGCAAUUGAUCUAUGUCAAACUAUAGUUACCUUUCAAAGGGUAAACACACAAAAUAUGCAUUUUCCAGGGCACACGGGGUUUCCAUCUGGCCUCUUGCAAACUCUUAGUGCAAAACUCUGUUGCAGGGAGUCUUCCAGAUAGGAGCAAAACCAAUGUUCAGAAUGAUUAACUUGCUCUUCUGUCUUAGAGGCACAAAGAAUGCAUUCAUAAGGUGACUGUUUCCUGGUUUACUGCUCCUGAUUUACUUAUAGCUGCUAUUCUGGUAUAAUUAUAAUAGAGCCCCUUUUCUUCUCAACCAUGUCCUGGUUUGCAUGGCAAAUUUUUGGUCUCUUCCCCUGCAAAUAUUACGGAAACUGCCUUGAGCUUGUGGUCCCUUCUAUCAUGAUUUUGUCAUAUGACCCUCCAAGAGGCACUGUAAAUAUCUUGGCCAUCCCUACACCUCUGCAAGAAACUUUUUACGUCUUACACCUUCCAAAGUGAUAACCAUCCUAAACAUAAAGGUAAAAGUGAUGCCUGCCUAAACAUACAGGCGGACAAUGGGCCUAAUAUUUCUCCCAGGUUUUGAGAAAGACUUUUGUAUUAAAAUUGCUGCUCAUCUUUAUUAAAUAAUACUAGAUUGAUGAAACUUUCUUACAAUAUUAAUAGCUCUCAAAUGACUUUUCAUUCCUAUUUGUUUUGGCAUAUAGGAUGUCUGUAAAAUUAGUGAGACACCCUUUGACAUACAGAUCAGAAAGCAACUGGAAAACUCAUAAAGGAUUUACUAAAGAAGUGGUGAGAAGAACCAGCCAACCCUCCAUAGCUCACCUCUGCUGACAUUGCCAUACAGGGCAAGCUGCCAGCCCCUGUCUUCCUUCCCAGGGCUACAUGGUGUGGAGAAAGUUCACUGUGCACUGGUUCCCAAUUGUCUGGCUUCGGUGAGAUAGAAUGCAUCAUACUCAGCAAGUUACACAAAGCAGAUGUAUUACUUACAUAUAGGCAGCAAGGGACAAAAGCAGCCUAGGAUCAUUUGUAAGCUGGUCCCCCAAGGCUCAAAAAAGCUGCCCCAGGAUGGAUGAAGACUUGACCAUGUAACCCCAGUCAGACUACAAUCUGUGGGAUCCCAAAAAACAGCCCUCCCCAGGUUACACGCCUCAGGGGCUGCAGGACUCAUUGGGCUUGGAAGACCAUCCUGCUUCCAGGGGAGAGUGGAAUAAAGUUUGGCUGUCCAGGGCGGCUCCUCUCUAAUUCAAGAUGGUACGUUCCCAAGGCAAGGCAGGAACAAGGUCCAGGCUGUCUCAGGUAGUUCCUCGCUCUGUUAACUUUUCAUAGUUGUGACAAAACACCUGACGGUAACAGCUUAAAGGAGGAAAGGUUUAUUUUGGCUCCUGAUUUUGGAGGAGAGAGAGAGAGAGAGGGACAACAUACAGACUCCAAAGUCAUGCCCCUAUGACCCAUUUCUUUCAACUGGGUCCUAAGUGUCCGAUAUCUCCCAAAAAUGCUGUCAAACUGUGAUCUCAUCAAUGGAUUAAUCCAUUGAGCAAAUUAGAGCCCUCAUGAUCCAAUCACCUUCCAAAAGCCCCACCUUA